rnacentral:rRNA from 1 species
GUCCACACAGUAAACGAUGAGUGUUAAGUGUUGGUUUACGCCGACAUUUGAGUUAACACGUUAAACACUCCGCCUGGGGGAGUACGGUCGCAAGGCUGAAACUUAAAGGAAUUGGCGGGGGCUUUUACAAACGGUGGAGCAUGUAGUUUAAUCUGAUACUCCGCAAUGAAUCUUACCAGUUUUUGUAUACAAUGUUUGUUUUUAUAAUUUGUACAGGUGUUGCAUGGCUGUCGU